CAUCUCCAUACGCUUCUGAACGGGUGUGAGUUGCAUUUGUACGAGUAUAAACGGAAAAAUAUUUGAUUAUGCUCGAAAGAAAACUUUAGCGACAACGUCAUCACGUUAGGUUAAGCACUAAUUGAGACAUGUUCGGGUGCGUGUGUUUUGUUCCGAUUUGAGACCACACCUUCAAAGCGAGAAAAUGUACUACAUUUCAGUAGUGUUAUCACUGCAUUAGUAGUUCUUUUUUGCGAGAAUUGUACGUGCAUGUGUAAACAUUGUGCGUGCUCAACUGAUUUAGAUCAAACGAUAAGACAUUAUGCGAAGUAUAUUGAAGUAUUACUUUCGUAUCUCUCGUUUCGAUCGCACGUAUAUAUGUACGUGCGCGUUUUUAUUUGUCUUGCGGCUGUUAUUCAGUGUCGAUUUCUGCCUUAAUUAAAUUGUGGAUCCGUUUCCCUUUGGUACAGGACGGGAAUUACUAUUAUAUCUCUAAGAGAUCAAGCUCUGAAUUCUCUGUGAGAAAAUUAUUUAUGUAAGAGAUCGAGUAAGUCCAUAUGAAAAGUUUCAUUCCAUCCCUGGUGAAAAUAAAAAUCGGAGCAUAUAUUCUUGACGUAUGUUUUUCAUUGCUUGUCAAAGAAUUAUUGCAAUUUGCCUUUCCAAUUAUAAAUGCAAUUGUGUUUAAAUACAAAUAUGAUAAUUUCAAACGCUGUCAAGCAUAUCAACGGAUCAUGGAGGAACAUUCCUCGAAACAGACUUUUGGUGGGAUAAGAACGGCCCAUUAGGUGGCCUCCAUACGUAUAAUCCAUUCAGAAUACAACUUAUAAAAGAUGGACUGGUAAAUACCGGAUUCAAAAUGCAAAAUUCAGAUCUUCCGUUGAAAGGAAUGAAGAUUGCGGAUGUUGGCUGCGGCGGAGGUAUAUUGACUGAGGCUUUAGCUAGAAUAGGAGCGCAAGUAACCGGAAUAGAUAUAUCGGCAGAAUUAUUAAACGUUG